rnacentral:tmRNA from 1 species
GGGGCUGAAUUUAGCUCGACGUUGAACUUUAUCAACUAGUUUGCAGGUCGCUUGUCAGCGUUAUUGGCAAAACAAUUUUAGAUGGCGAAAAACUAUCUAUUCGCGAAUUUGUUGCCAACUUGUUUGGUCGACAGUUCGCACCAGUUCUCGCUUAACUUAAGUUCGAGAACCGCGCCUGAACGCCACACCAGAUAAUGUUCAAAAGCGUGUCAUAUCAUCUGGUUGCUGAAACUUUACUUUCCAUAAAGUUUCCUAAGACUUAGGAAUAGGAAAAUCGGUUUUUUUGGCCGUUACCUAGCCGACCUUCCGAAAAUUUUAAACGGUCUAAACCUGUAGACGGCUAGCUCGAUAAACCGACGGACGUGGGUGUAAUACCCACCAGCUCCACCA